rnacentral:misc_RNA from 1 species
CAGAGUUGCACAAACUCCCCACAAACCAUCGCGAAUCUUACCCGUUACGGUUGCCUCGGCGCUGGCGGUCCGGAAGGCCAUCGGGCCCCCCGGAUCCUCGGGUCUCCCGCUCGCGGGAGGCUAGCCCGCCGGAGUGCCGAAACCAAACUCUUGAUAUUUUAUGUCUCUCUGAGUAAACUUUUAAAUAAGUCA